AUUGAACGCUGGCGGCAUGCCUUACACAUGCAAGUCGAACGGCAGCGGGCCUUCGGGUGCCGGCGAGUGGCGAACGGGUGAGUAAUGCAUCGGAACGUGCCAUUGAGUGGGGGAUAACGUAGCGAAAGUUACGCUAAUACCGCAUAUUCUGUGAGCAGGAAAGCAGGGGACCGCAAGGCCUUGCGCUCUUUGAGCGGCCGAUGUCAGAUUAGCUAGUUGGUGAGGUAAAGGCUUACCAAGGCGACGAUCGGUAGCUGGUCUGAGAGGAUGAUCAGCCACACUGGAACUGAGACACGGUCCAGACUCCUACGGGAGGCAGCAGUGGGGAAUUUUGGACAAUGGGGGCAACCCUGAUCCAGCCAUGCCGCGCGAGUGAAGAAGGCC
rnacentral:rRNA from 1 species